AAAGCUUAGGUCAGGACUGCCACCGUAUCGGACCGUCAUUUUUGUCCGGGAUUUCGUCGCUGUAACAUAUCAAUCUAUGAACUUUUAAAAUUAUGUUGGGUAUUGUUCCUCAAAAUUAAUAAAACCUUACUGUGAACUUUGGAAGCAGAAAUAAGUAAAUUUAUGUAGGAUGAUUGUGGAUAACCUUGGCCAACCAAUGCUGCUUGCUUGCGCUUCUGUCCAUGAGGUUACAUCCCCUGGUGGAUGAACCAUUUUGGGGUUGAUCUUCCACUGCACAAGCAAAUCUAUUUUGUCACCAUGUGCUCCCUUAGUAAUGGUUCUGGUAUGAAGCUUUUGAAAAAUAGUGAUUUUGAAAACAUGUUGAAAAUUGUUUGUGGUGAAGUAUCCUGGUAACAUGCGGUUAUGCUAUAAUCCCAGCAUUCUGCAUUACAAAGGGUACAAGAGUGAUUUCAAGUUGGGAUUAUAAUGAGAAGCAAAUUUUCCAUACACAUCUGUUUUAUUCUCAUUCAAUACUUUGGACAACUCCAGUUAGCAGGAUGACUGAUGUUUGCUUUCCUUCUGUCUGUGAAGUUUAAUUCCCUGGAGGAUUGAUGUUGGUGGGUUUGUUAAACAUUAAUAGUAUUUUGGGGUUAAAAGAAAAACAAAAAUUUUUAUUUUUAGGGUUGAUCUUCCAUUGCACAAUCAAAAAUAUUUUGCUACCUGCUCUCCUAGUCAUGGUUCUGAUAUGAAGCUAUGGUCCGGAAAAAUAGUUAUUUUGAAAACAUGUUGUAUGCUAAAAUCCCUGCAUGACAAAGGUUACUAUAAGGAGCUUUUCUGCUGGUGAUGGUGUGUGGGAUUUUGUUUUGCAGAUGCUGAUUGCAACAAUAUUGUGAGUCCCCAAUGCAAUUCGUUGGUUAUGCCAUGGCCAGUAACUGGAUGGUUGAAUUUUGUGAUGUGUUUGAGAGUUAGUAACCAUUCUUACUGUAUGGUUUUACUUCUGGCUGCUGUGGAGCUUUAACUGAAAUAUGUUGGUUCGUGAUCAGCGCUUGGUUGUCCUGUUGAAGUGUAUAUCCAUAUCAGACGCAUUACCUGUGGAUUAUUUUAUUGGGUAAUUUCGUACGUUGACGAAGGUUCUCCUCACGUGUUCAAAAUACACGCGGAGCAAACUGCAGAGAACGUAUGGAAUCGAGUAUAUUAACAACGCGUGAUUAUUUCGUUCUCAGUGCUGGUACCUAUGCUCAUGCUGAGCUUUUAGGAAUGAAGUUUGUCUUGGUAAAAUCACCAUUGUCAAGAUUGAAUGGUAGUGGAGCCGAAGAAGCAAGUUUCGUCACAAAUGGUUGGUGGGACUUGGAGUUGAUCAAAGUUUUCUCUGUACUUUUGUUAUCUCAUAUUGUAGUAUUUAAAACAAAAGAAAAUAUUUGAUAUGAUAUUUUGUGUUA